rnacentral:rRNA from 1 species
GUCCUAGCAUGAGGCUCAGUGAAAUCGAAAUCGCCGUGAAGAUGCGGUGUACCCGCGGCUAGACGGAAAGACCCCGUGAACCUUUACUGCAGCUUGACAUUGAACUUUGAUCUUACUUGUGUAGGAUAGGUGGGAGGCUUUGAAGCUAGACGCCAGUUGCUAUGGAGCCCUCCUUGAAAUACCACCCUGGUAAUAUUGAAGUUCUAACUCUGCCUUCCGGAACAAGGACCUUGUCUGGGGGGUAGUUUGAUUGGGGGGGCCUCCUCCUAAAAAGUAAGGGAGGGGCCGAAAAGGUUACCUU